rnacentral:misc_RNA from 1 species
UUCAGUUGGGGUUUAACAGCCACUCGGGACGGUACAGCUGUCGCAAGAACUUUAGGCAAGAGAGUUAGUGUCACACAUAUUUGAGCCGAAAAACACACAGUGCCAGAGCUCAGAAGCUGAAUUGUUUUGUUACCAUUUUUGUUGUUAUUGUUAUUGUGUGCCCACACAGAACCGGGGGAAAAUAUCGAAUUCUCAACGGGUUUCAGUGCUACCGUAGUCAAGCGUCAAUGCAAUUUUCGGCACAAAUCAGCGCCGUUGUCAAAUCGCAUUCGAUAUUGAGAAUAUUUCUGGUAUCAUUCGAGGAAUUUGCGUAUGCGUCAGCGGUGAGCGUGCGACUGACCAAUUGAUUGACUGCGUGCCGACAAGUGUUUGUUGUUGGUUGACAGUGACAGUGCGGCAGAAAAGUGCUUGUGUAAAAUUUUGACGCGCCUGACGUAGUACCCUAGGGGACCAAGUGUUAAAAAGCCGAAAGUCAUAACUGUAAAUAUUGCAAAUCAUAACUGUAAACGUUGAACUGUGCAGAGUUAGCUCGAAAUUGAAACGCGCGUUGUACACUAAUUAUCGCGUUUAGUGUUGUUGUUAUUUCAGUUUUAUGCUAAAACAAACUAGUUUUGUGCUAAAUUAAACUAGCGUGCUAAUCAUAACCACAAACAUAUCACUAAAAUAAACAAAAAAAAACGCUUUAAUUAAAAAUUCUUGAAAUCAUCGUCGCCCGCACCCGCACCAACAAUUUGCUCUUUUUCACAUCCCCUACGUGCUUGUGACGGCCUCAAGCUGCGUUCCGACGAACCAGUACCGGGCUUUAGCUCGGCCACACCAUGGCCCACGCUCGAGCUGGAAUGGGGUCGCAAACUCUAUCCGUCGACGGGUCCACGUUCGGCCAGCGGCCUGAUGUUCGGCCUACCACCGACCGCGGCGGAUAUGAAUCAGCCACGCGGCCCCAUGACAUCGCUGAAGGAAGAGCCGUUGGGUGCGCGCGCCUGGAUGCAGCCGGUCAUCGAUCAGACCAAUUUGGGCAUUGGUCGCGCUCACUUCGAGAAACAGCCGCCGAGUAAUUUACGUAAAUCAAACUUUUUCCACUUCGUCAUUGCGCUGUACGAUCGUGCCGGGCAACCGAUUGAAAUCGAACGCACCGCAUUUAUUGGUUUUAUCGAAAAGGACUCAGAAUCGGAUGCGACAAAAACAAAUAAUGGCAUACAAUAUCGGCUGCAGUUGCUCUAUGCGAAUGGUGCGCGUCAGGAGCAGGACAUAUUUGUGCGACUCAUUGAUUCGGUGACAAAGCAGGCGAUUAUUUACGAAGGACAAGAUAAAAAUCCGGAAAUGUGUCGUGUACUGUUGACACACGAGGUUAUGUGCAGUCGCUGUUGUGAUAAAAAAAGUUGUGGCAACCGCAAUGAGACACCAUCAGAUCCUGUCAUUAUUGAUCGAUUUUUCCUGAAAUUCUUUUUGAAAUGCAAUCAAAACUGUUUAAAAAAUGCCGGCAAUCCCAGAGAUAUGAGACGCUUUCAGGUUGUCAUCUCCACACAAGUGACCGUUGAUGGCCCACUACUGGCUAUAUCCGAUAAUAUGUUCGUACACAACAAUUCGAAGCAUGGACGUCGCGCCAAACGUUUGGACACCACGGAAGGUACAGGAAACUCCUCCCUGUCCUUAACGGGUCACCCACUUGCGCCUGACAGUACCUAUGAUGGUCUUUAUCCACCAUUGCCCGUGGCCACGCCCUGCAUCAAAGCGAUUUCGCCCAGCGAGGGUUGGACCUCUGGCGGCGCAACCGUUAUUAUUGUGGGUGAUAAUUUCUUUGAUGGCCUCCAAGUGGUCUUCGGCACAAUGCUCGUUUGGAGCGAAUUGAUUACAUCGCAUGCCAUUCGUGUGCAAACACCACCACGUCACAUACCCGGUGUGGUGGAGGUGACUUUGUCGUAUAAGAGCAAACAGUUCUGCAAGGGUUCGCCGGGCCGAUUUGUCUAUGUUUCGCUUAAUGAGCCGACCAUCGAUUACGGUUUUCAACGUCUGCAAAAGCUCAUACCACGUCAUCCUGGCGAUCCAGAGAAAUUACAAAAGGAAAUCAUUCUCAAACGCGCAGCCGAUUUGGUCGAGGCCUUGUACUCCAUGCCAAGAUCUCCCGGCGGUUCGACCGGCUUUAAUUCAUACACCGGCCAGCUGGCUGUAAGCGUUCAGGAUACCGCUGGCCAAUGGACCGAAGACGACUAUCAGCGCGCCCAAUCGAGCAGCGUGAGUCCACGUGGCGGCUAUUGUAGCAGCGCUUCUACGCCACACAGUUCGGGCGGUUCUUAUGGCGCUACAGUGGCCGCUAAUGGCUAUGGCCCCACAACCAAUAUGGGUACGUUAUCCUCCUCACCAGCCAGUGUUUUCAACUCCACCAGCAUGUCGUCACCGUGGCAUCAGGCGCUAGUGCAACACCACCACACACAUCCGCACCACUACCACCACCAUGCGCACCAGCCGUGGCACAAUCCAGCCGCCUCAAUCGCAACCGCCGCCGUGUAGAGCGUUCGGAGCGUGCAGCCCGAGAGAUAUGUACGUGUAUUUGCUCUGUGAAAAGUUAACGGAGUGAGCGGCCUCAGCUUCAAUCCAUUCACGCUGCCAACGUGCAACACUCAAGGUUACGGCACAAGCCAACUGGUGACAUCGACCAAAUAAAAUGCGCAUUGGCUUACAAACAUAUGGGAACAGCAAAUAUCAAAGAAAUCUACUACAUACAUACUCACCUAAAACAUAUGAGCAUUUGCGAUUUGGUUACAACAAAAAACAUAUUCGAAAUUACAUAUCUUUUUCUAGAGUUAAGCCAAGGCGGGGAUGGAAAAAUGAUGAUCAAUCAAAAAAAAAUAUUAAAAAUAUAUUAAAAAAUAUUAAAAAUAAAUUAAAAAUAUAAAAAAUAAAUUAUUAAAAAAAAAAUAAAUUAAAUUUAAAUACUUAAACAUACAUACAUACAUACAUAUAAGAAAAAAUAAAAAAAAUGAAUUUGUAAAAAAUAAAUUCAAUAAAAAAAUAUAUAUAUCGUUUUCUUCAACAUUAAGCGUUAAUAGAUGCAUAACAUGAAAAAUCAUUUAAUAUAAUAUAGUUGAAAAAAAAUUAAAUAAUUAUAAGCUAAAAUUAUUAUAAAUAUGUAUUACUUUUUGUUUUCGCGUGCAAUAUAAGGAAUUACAGUUAAUUUGUUAUACAUAC